rnacentral:rRNA from 1 species
AACGAUUUGGGCACUGUCUCAACGAGAGACUCGGUGAAAUUUUAGUACCUGUGAAGAUGCAGGUUACCCGCGACAGGACGGAAAGACCCCAUGGAGCUUUACUGUAGUUUGAUAUUGAGUGUCUGUACCGCAUGUACAGGAUAGGUAGGAGCCGUAGAAAUCGGAACGCUAGUUUCGAUGGAGGCGCUGGUGGGAUACUACCCCUGCGUUAUGGCCACUCUAACCCGCACCACUGAUCGUGGUGGGAGACAGUGUCAGAUGGGCAGUUUGACUGGGGCGGUCGCCUCCUAAAAGGUAACGGAGGCGCCCAAAGGUUCCCUCAGAAUGGUUGGAAAUCAUUCGAAGAGUGUAAAGGCAGAAGGGAGCUUGACUGCGAGACCAACAAGUCGAGCAGGGACGAAAGUCGGGCUUAGUGAUCCGGUGGUUCCGCAUGGAAGGGCCAUCGCUCAACGGAUAAAAGCUACCC